AUUGAACGCUGGCGGCAGGCCUAACACAUGCAAGUCGAGCGGAUGAAGGGAGCUUGCUCCUGGAUUCAGCGGCGGACGGGUGAGUAAUGCCUAGGAAUCUGCCUGGUAGUGGGGGAUAACGUCCGGAAACGGGCGCUAAUACCGCCUACGUCCUGCGGGAGAAAGUGGGGGAUCUUCGGACCUCACGCUAUCAGAUGAGCCUAGGUCGGAUUAGCUAGUUGGUGGGGUAAAGGCCUACCAAGGCGACGAUUCGUAACUGGUCUGAGUGGAUGAUAAGUCACAUUGGAACUGAGACACGGUCCAGACUCCUACGGGAGGCAGCAGUGGGGAAUAUUGGACAACGGGCGAAAGCCUGAUCCAGCCAUGGCGCGUGUGUGAAGAAGGUCUUCGGAUUGUAAAGCACUUUAAGUUGGGAGGAAGGGCAGUAAGUUAAUACCUUGCUGUUUUGACGUUACCAACAGAAGAAGCACCGGCUAACUUCGUG
rnacentral:rRNA from 1 species